UUGAGUCAGGCCAAAAUAGAAGCCUCCUUCCUCCCACAUCCCAGAGCUGUUCCUUCUGAUUUCAGUAGCUAGAACCAGUGACCAUGCAGUGGCUCGAGGAAGCAGUGUGGGGGAGUCUCCCUUUCUUCUCCCCACCCCUCAACCGGCAAGUGGUCUCAGGAGUUCUUCCAGAUCAUUGGAAGAUGCGAUCACUGGAAGACUCCAGAUCACUGGAGAUCCCUUGAUCUCCCCGCCUUUGACAAACUCAAGGUAAAGCCUUUGCAUUUCUCUGCCAGAUAACUAAUCAGAGUGGUUUGCUCAUUUAUCUUAUCAGACCUAAUUCUCUCCUCCUUUAAGCCCUCUGUGCUCUGGAAGCCACAGCUUUCUUGGUGAACACUGAUGACCAGAACAACAGAGAUUGCAACAAAGGGGAGUUGAUUUCUACCAUCAACACAGUCAGCCCAGGCUACGCAACAGUUGUCCUGAACUGCAGCAGGCAUCCAGCCCUGUGCACGCAUCAUAACCAGCAGGGUGUCAGGAGGAGGAGGAAGACAAGGAGGAAGGAGCCUUCCUUCCCCUGUCCUGGGCCCCACCCCUGCAUCCCACUGCAGGACCAGGAACCUGCCUGUGCCUGGCAGUGACGUUGCCAAUGGGUGUGGCUUCACUUUGAGCUGGGAGCCUGCAAGAGGAAGGGAAGGUGGUCCCUGGAGCCAGCCAGUGGUCUUCGCCCAGUCGCCCUUCAGCUCUCAUUGUGCGUUUUCCAGACUCCUGGCUGUGGUCCGUGCAAUCCUGCAGGGCCAGGCCCAGCUGACCCACAGCAGGCCUUAGCCAGAAAGAACCCUGGGCUCCCCUGUUCUCAGAUCAUUGGUUCCCACCUCGUUUCUGCCUCAUUGCCCAUCCCAAUCUCUGCAGACCCGGCCACAUCGUGUCCCUGCAAUCUCUGCUCAGAUGACACCUGUGGGGCUCUGUCAGACCAUCUAGUCUCACUUCUUUAGACCCACUCUGCCUUUAUCUGCGUGUUUGUGUCUCCACACGGGCCCCCACCCACUCCAGAGAAAAUACCACGCAGCAGGGAGCUUGUAGGUGUUGUUCUACACCUUAUCACCAGCCCUUAGAUUUGUCCCAGGCGUGAAAUGGCCACAGAUGUGCUGGUUGGGUAAAGAUUUCAUGGGACAUGGUGGACAUCUGUGUGGCAGCAUUGCAGAAUGGAUAUACCUGUGCUUACCAGGGUGAGGCCUGAAAGGGAGCUCGAUUUUCCCAUUCUUUCUGUGCUGGCGUAUCAUACGAUCAUGCUGUAUUAACAGUGAAGAAACCAGACAGCUGAUGUUGUCAGAUAUAGAGGCAAUAUGCUAAAACAUCUCCUAGAAGCCAUGUGACCCAGAGGGAUGGGCUGGAUGCCAGUAUGAUCGGAUUGCAAACUGCUUGCUCAACCCUACAGCCAUCGGCUGAUGAAUUGAUAUCAGUCAGAAUGAGGCUCGGUGACUUGGUGAAAACGUAUGUGUGCACGUCGCAUGGCACAGAGGGCGGUGUGAGGAGGAAGGGUGGGUGGCCAUGAUACCCUAGGCUGUCCUUCAUUUCAUUCCCCCAGCAUCGCUGCUGUUAUUUUCAUGAUUAUAUCAUUGAAUUGCUGAGAGGAAGGGCACAGCUAGGCUUUGGGCUCUGUGCUUCCAGUAGGUGUACAACAGAAGUGUGUGUGUGUGUGUGUGUGUGUGUGUGUGUUGCUGGGGAUCAAAUCCAGCGCCUUUCACAAGCCAGGCAAGCACUGCAGCACCAAGCUACACCCCCAGCCCAAGGGAGAUUGAUGCAUGACUAACAUCACUGGAGGCUGAGCGGAGUCUUGCCAGGGCUGCUUCGGUGGGUGUGAGAAGCGUUUGGUCAAUGUAAAGAGUCGGAGAGUGUCCUCUGCAUUCCCUGAAAGUGUGGAGCUGUCAUCAGCCGCCGUUGUCCCGGUCGCUCCUACUGUUGGUGAGCUUUCAGGGACGGCAGACGCCAGCCUCAGCGGUAGACUCCUGGUGUGUGCUGCAAGCUGGUGGCUUGGCAGCUUGGGAGCAGGACAGUUAGGCCUGAGUUCCUCUAAAGCUAACUUUCAUGUACCAAAGAAACAGAAUUGGACUCGUUUCAUAGUCUCGCUCAUGUUCAACUCAUGCACAUUGGGCUGAGCGCCAUCCAGCUUUCCAGACUGAGAAUGACGGGUCCCCAAAGCAGCUCAUCCCUGGGCCACGUUCUUCCAUAGAUGACACGUCCACUUGCAGGUGAUCCUUGAGCACACGCAGAACUCCAGGCCCCGUGGAGCAUCAUCUCUGCUCCAGCCCUGGGGACUUAGAAGAUCACGGCAGAUGGGGAAGCAUUCCUGUCCCGUACAUGUUAGGCCUGGACUAGGACUCGACUGGGCCCUGGAAAGGGAGAAAGCGAAAGCAGGUGUCAGACAGGAAGAGGGAUGCGGGGUGUGCAUUGAUCUUGCUGCAUCCUUCAAGACUGGUGUCUUUUAAAAUAAUCCUGCCUUUUUCCCCCCUGAUGUCUUUGCCCCACAGUGCAAUGGGAUGUGAGGUUUUGUGAGUCCCAGAGAUGGUGGAGAAAGCUCCUUCCUCCCAGGCUGUGCUGACAGCUGGUUGCUAUUAGAGAGAAACGGACAGAUGGUGGCAGCCGGCCCGGUCAUGCUGAGCCGGAAGUCUGCUCAUUUCAUCCAAAAUCAGGGCCUGUUUUUGAAACACAGCGUAGUGUUAUCACUUUGGUAUUUUAGCCUAGACUUGGACGUUAUUACUUUUUGAGGCUGCAUAAUUUUUCGAGGAUGGACAUAUCAGCUCAGCAAAGAGAUAAGAAAAAGGAGAGCACAUCUUUGGUCCCAGCAAGACCGUGGUCCAAGACAGCUUUGCUGUGGCGCUUGUGACUCUCAAGUCUGGCUGCAAGUGGGCCUACAAACCCCAGCUCCCUUUCUUAUGCUCUGUUUUGCAGUGUGGGUCGUGGUUCUUUGCUGAGUCUGGAAGGGCCACCUCCUCAAUCUGUUCUGUCCACUGCAUGGGCUCUAGACCAGCUGUGCGAGUUAACGCCUCCCCCUAGCUCAGACCUGUGUGGGGCAGGAGGAAGAGGUGCUUGCAAGAAAGAGGCUGAAGGUGGUGAUGUGAGGCCGUGAGACAUGUGCAGAAAUGGGAGGCUCAGGGGCUCUCACAGGACCCUGACGCCCUCCUGCUCCCUGCUCCCCAGCUCAGAGGACUUCCCUGCUCACCCACAGCCUCCUCCUCUAGUUCUCUGCAUAUACUUAGGUCUUAAACUGUGCCAGAAAACACACACAAUUGACCCACAUAACCAGUUUUGUUUUUGUUUUUCUUUUUUUUUUUCAAUUGGUACCAGGGAUCGAACUCACAACGGCCUGCUUGCAAGGCAGGUUCUUACGCCGCUGAGCUAAAUCCCCAGCCCCUCAUAACCAGUUUUUGAAGCUGCCCUGCAGCAGAGGGAAGUAUGUCCCCAGGGGUGGACAGCCGUCACCACCACCCAUCCAGACAGCAUUUCAGACCCAUUAAACAACUGUGCCCCUCGGCCGCCAACAGCCAGCAUUCAUUCAUUAUCUCCGGGAAUGCUGCCACGGCCCCAGGUGUCUCACAGAAGCGCCCUCCUGUCGCUUUCGUCCUUUCCAGACUGAUGGGGUUCACUGGCUGUAGUGCUCUUGAGCUGGCCCUGCACCUGAAGAUCCACUCAUCUGUCCACUCUCUCCUCCCAGGAUGCUGGGGUUGCUUCCUCAUGUUAGCUGACCUGAUAACACGAGUGUAAAACCUUUCUCGGCUGUUGCUUUUGAUGCUUUUGGGUACAGACUCAGAAGCUGGGUUGCUGGGUCACCCGGGAACUGCUGCCCCGGGUUCAGUUUUUUAUCCCAUUGGCAACAUUUCACAUUCCUGCCACCGUGCACGGAGGCAUCCAUCUUCCUCUCGGUGCACGCGGUGGUUCUGUGUUUGAGAAUGGUCCCCGCAUGGCUGCACUCUGCACACAGAUCGGUGGGGAUAUGUGGGGCGCUCCUGAUGGCAGCACUCGCAUCAUCCUAUUGAUUCCCACUCCCCGAAUUCCAAAUCCGCAUAUUGGGUGAUUCCAUUUCGUUUGCUGAAUGAAUCCCUUUCUUUGUUUCUGGGGAGGCGUUGUCCUCUCCCUGCUUCCAGGACAGUCAACCGUUUUGAUCACGUACAAAAUGAAGCAACGUUGAGAGCUGGAAAAGCGAUGUGUCUGCUCAGACAGGAGGCACCCAGCUCUGAUUUGAUUUUAGGGCAAUUGGUAAGGAAGGUUUGCUCAGAGGUGCCGUGUUGAGUUUUUCUUUUGGGCAGUGGGAAUUCCUCUAAAAGAACCGCUGUAGCCCGGACUCUCUGCCUGCAACCUGCCCCUCAGCCCUUCUCUCCUGUCAUCCUGAGAGAGUGUAGUCAAGGAUGCUGACAGUUCCUGAGUUUCUGCAAAUCUUUGAGUGCAAGGCAAAUACCCUUAAACAUUUUUUUGUUUGUUUUUUGUUUCUUGAGACAGGGUCUCACUGUGUAUUUCAGGCUGGCCUCAAACUCACAAUUCUCCUGUCUGACCUCCAGAGUGCUAGUGUAGCAGGCAUGUGCCACUGUGUCUGGCCUAUAUUUACUUUUUAAUCACAUUUUAUUUUGAAAUUAGUUUCAAUUUCCAGAAGACUAGCGAAAGUAACACAGAGAAUUUCCACACACCCCUUGUCCGCCCAGCAUUCCCUAGUGUGGGUAUUUUAUGCAGUCAUGGUGUGCUGACCAAAGCUAAGAAACCGCGUUACUAACCAGACCACAGGGCUUUGUUUGUCAUUCCCCCGCUUUUCCUUGUCUGUCCUUUUUCUGUCCUGGGACCCUUGAUUGCAACUGGUUGUCAGAUCUCCGUAAUCUCCCCCAAUUUGUGAGAGACCCUCCAUCUUUCCGUCUUUCGUGGCCUUGUCACUUGUAAGGACAGGUUACGAAGGCUGGCACUUUGCAGAAUACCUCGGGUGGAUUUGGGGAGGAAGCUUAGGACCGAGUUGUACUUUUGUCAUUUUAAUGGGAAUUAUGAGACAGAGGCCGGCCUACACCCUUGGGUGCCUGCCUGUGUGGGAAGCAGCUCCUUUCCUAAGCAUAAGGGGCCUGGGCCCAGGCCAGUGGCCGAGCGUCAGACUCUCCCAGCACCCUCCAAUGGCACCCUGGAGGGAGAAGAAGGUGGCCCAGAUGGAAAACCUCUACACCGAUUCCUGCACACCAGCAGGCUGGGUAGCCCAUGGUCAGGGCCGCAGCGGUCUUGAUCUCACUGUCUUCAUCUAUAAAACAAGAGCAUUGGUCAUCAAAGGCCACUCUGAGCCUGUGGCUGUCCCCUACAAUGCCUGGCAUUGCUGCAGUGGAACAAGAGGCCUCAGAGCCCCCAGCACACAGCGCAGGACAGCUGUGACCAGGCGGUGCCAGCCGCCUCUGUGGCAUGGAGGACAAGGCUGCCUUGGAAGAGCCAGGAGCCUCUGGGUGGCAGCUUUAGGGAGCCCCUCCCUCUCGUUCCAAACUGGGAAACUUCUGGAGAUGACAGAGAAGGGGAGGUCGCAGUGCCGCUGGCUUAGCGCAGUGUGUGUGGAACAGCGAGCUUCACUUGCCCGCCUUCCCAGGUCCCUGCUUGCACCACCCGCACCUGCACCCCUCCUUUCUGCCUCUCACCUUUCCUGUCUUGGGUUUCUGAACUCCAGAUGCUUUGCUGUCAGAGCUGAGGGAGCUUCCAGGGCUGCAUGUAGCUAACCUCAAGCCGAGUCAUUUAAUACACCUGUCUUUCCAGGCAAUUAAAGACUUGGCACAUGCGUGGAAAAGCGUUUGCUUUGAGAAGUCAGUGAUAGCUCUUAUUUGCAGACCAGCAGAGGCAAGUGUGUGGAGGGGACCCGAGGCCCGCGUCGUGGAGGCAUUGCAUCUGGCGGCGUCCACGCAGUUCAGAGCUGAGGCCCUUACUGGUCUUGGCAGCCUCCUGGGUUAUUCUGUGGCUGCUCUUUGUCAGAAGAUGAGCUGAAAAAACUAAGUUGACCGAAUUUCCCCUUGAAGCAUUCCAGCUCGAGGACAUGUCUCAUCCCGGCAACCGAGGCUGCGGAAUGCAGUCGAUGCUGAGGACAGGGAGCUUUUGUUUCUCGUGGGGGCCAGCUGCAGGCCCGAGUGCUGGCCCAUAGCAAGUGGGCAGGGACUGCCUGGCCCUUUGUCAGGCAGGGCUGACGCUCGGCUCAGCACACUGUGGCCUUGGAGGACUUCAGGAAGCCCACAGAUUUUAAGGGACCGAUGUGAUGGGUCUGAUGGCGGGAAGAGGUGAAUCUAUGCCUUGUUAGUUCUGAAUCUGCGACUCCCACCCCAGAAAGCAUCUAGAUUCUGGAACAUUUCAAUUUGAUUGUGGAAAACUCACAGUCUAUAAAAUUGACCGUUUUAACCCUUUUCGAGGAGUCCAGGACCACUCACAUUGGCUGAGCCGCAGCCCUGCCCCCACCUCCAGAGCUCUGCGGUAAAGUGGGGAGCUCUGAACCCCGUCGGUACUCGCCCUCCCUUGGCCCUGGCCACCAUGCUUCUGCUUGGUAUUUUGGUGACUCUCACGCCUCUGAGGAGCUGUGCGCGUGGAACCCUACCACACCCGUCCUUUGUGACUCGCUUGUUUCACCCUGCGGGGUACCUGGUGGUGCCACCUGUCAGAAUCCCCUCCCUUGUUACGGCUGAGUCACCCCACUGAACGGAAAUAGCAUGUCUUGCUCACCCUGUCACCCCUGGAUGGCUUCCACGUUUCAGCGACUGUGAAGGAUGCUGCUAUGAAUGUGGGGAUGCAGGAUCUUACCACACUGUCUGCGCUGGCCUCCCACCCCAGAGUUCUGGUGGUCUUCUGCCUCAGUCUUCCAGAGUAGCUGGGAUUACACGUGUGCCUCCAUGGCUGGCUUAAGACAACAGUAUUCAUUUACAGUUAAUGUAUUGCUUUGACACAUUCAAUACAGGGCUGUAGUUCAUAUGUGUUUCUGCCAGGCAACUUGAAUGGUACAUGCAUAACGGUCCCAUCCAUCAGCUUUUCUGUUAAUUUUAUUAGUAAAAAGAGCAGUGAUAAAGCGAUUCAGUCGGUUUGUACCAUCAGUGGUGUAAGUGCUCCAUGGCACAGUUGUGCAUGCACCACCGGUGGGUCAAGCCCGUGGGAACGUGUUAAAGCCUAGCAUUGUAGAGCAGAUACACAACAGGAAAUUCUGAAUUCUAGAGAAGCGAUUGCCUUGCACAGUCACCGUGGAGUCUCUUCACAACUGCAUGCUCUACCAGUGCACGAAUACUUAAUUCACAGUACAAAACAAUGCAAGUCACACAGACUUCAUUCUCCAGCUCGGAGCAGUGGGUACAUGUCCGUAUCUGAGGCUUGAGCCUGGCUGGCAAGUUCUGAAAGUCGAUAACUCAACUCUGUCACUGUGUUGACCAAACAGGAGAUCUCCUUGGGGAAAACACUUGAGUUUCAUGUUGGAUUGAGCAGAGCAGCACCUUUGAAGCGUUCUGCAUGUAGAAGAGAAGCGACCUUGACCGAGUCAUUUCCUUCUGUUAAGUUCCACCGUGUGUUCACAGUGCCGAACGCAUAGGUAUAAUGACACAGGCAAAGAGCUCGGACAUGAGACAGAUGAGGACAGAUGGGAAUCUGGUCUUCUCGUUAUCUAACUGGGAUGCACACACCUGUCUUGUGGAAUUGGGAGGGAUGUGACUUCCUCCUUGUGGUAGCAAGUUGUUUGAGAGGAGCGUGGCUGACGGACUUCAGUGGUGAUACAGGCACAGACAAGGAUCACUCAGCAGAACCCCAGUUGCACAAGAAAUAACAUCCAGGAUCAAUAAAUGGGAUUGCAUCAAAUUAAAAGGCUGCACAGCAAACAGCCAACAGAAUGAAGGAACAGCCUACAGAAUGGGAAAAAAAGUGCCAGCUGUUCUUCAGAUGGAGGACUAACAUCUAGAAUAUACAAAGAACUCAAAAGAUUAGACCCCCCUCAAUUUAAAAAUCCAAUCCCAAAAUGGACAUCUUGAGUAGACACUUCUCAGAAGAAGUACAGAUAGCUAAUAAAUACAUGAAAAAAUAUACAGUCCUACUGGCCAAA